GACGAACGCUGGCGGCGUGCCUAAUACAUGCAAGUCGAACGCUUCUUUCCUCCCGAGUGCUUGCACUCAAUUGGAAAGAGGAGUGGCGGACGGGUGAGUAACACGUGGGUAACCUACCCAUCAGAGGGGGAUGACACUUGGAAACAGGUGCUAAUACCGCAUAACAGUUUAUGCCGCAUGGCAUAAGAGUGCAAGGCGCUUUCGGGUGUCGCUGAUGGAUGGACCCGCGGUGCAUUAGCUAGUUGGUGAGGUAACGGCUCACCAAGGCAACGAUGCAUAGCCGACCUGAGAGGGUGAUCGGCCACACUGGGACUGAGACACGGCCCAGACUCCUACGGGAGGCAGCAGUAGGGAAUCUUCGGCAAUGGACGAAAGUCUGACCGAGCAACGCCGCGUGAGUGAAGAAGGUUUUCGGAUCGUAAAACUCUGUUGUUAGAGAAGAACAAGGACGUUAGUAACUGAACGUCCCCUGACGGUAUCUAACCAGAAAGCCACGGCUAACUACGUG
rnacentral:rRNA from 1 species